rnacentral:rRNA from 1 species
UACGUAGGGUGCAAGCGUUGUCCGGAAUUAUUGGGCGUAAAGAGCUCGUAGGCGGUCUGUCGCGUCGGCUGUGAAAACCCGAGGCUCAACCUCGGGCCUGCAGUCGAUACGGGCAGACUGGAGUACUGCAGGGGAGACUGGAAUUCCUGGUGUAGCGGUGGAAUGCGCAGAUAUCAGGAGGAACACCGGUGGCGAAGGCGGGUCUCUGGGCAGUAACUGACGCUGAGGAGCGAAAGCGUGGGGAGCGAACAGG